AGCUCUGAUAGUGUAUACUAACGUUGUUGCAGUUAAAAGGCUCGUAGUCGAACAUAUGAUCUAGUGAGCAAAUCUCUCUGCCAAAGUGCAGUGAUGGUUACAGCGCACAGAUCAUCCUUCUGGAAGAAACAUCUACACUUGAUUGUGUCGGAUGUGGAAUCCAGAUCAUUUACUGUGAGUAAAUCAAAGUGUUUAAAGCAGGCUACACGCCUGAAUGUUCUAGCAUGGAAUAAUAAGAUAGGACUUUAGUUCUAUUUUGUUGGCUUCUAGAACUAAAGUAAUGAUUGAUAGGGACAGUUGGGGGUGCUAGUAUUUAACGGUCAGCGGUGAAAUGCGUGGACCCGUUAAAGACUAACUUAUGCGAAAGCAUUCACCAAGGAUGUCUUCUUUGAUCAAGAAC
rnacentral:rRNA from 1 species